ensembl:lncRNA
UUUAACCCAUUGCACCAAGCCAGGGAUCAAACCUACAUCUCCACAGUGACCCAAUCCACUGCAGUCAGGUUCUUAACCCACUACAUCACAGCGGGAACUCCUCUCAACCUUUUAUAUCUUUUUUUCAGCUCUAGGGAAUUUAAACUUCAAUGGGAAAUAAAAGAAAAUGGCAUGUCCAUUUGUUGAUUAGCUUUGUCAUUUGUUCCUUAACUUCAUCCACCUCAGCACACAAUUUAAAUAUGGUAUCAGAGUUCCUGUCAUGGCACAGUGGAAAUGCAUCUGACUAGCAUCCAUGACGAUUCAGGUUCAAUCCCUGGCCUUGCUCAGUGGGUUAAGGAUCCGAUGUUGCCGUGAGCCGUGGUGUGGGUGACAGACACGGCUCAGUUCUAGCGUUGCUGUGGCUGUGGUGUAGGCUGGCAGCUAUACUCCAGUUCGACCUCUAGCCUGGGAAUUUACAUAUGCUGCAUGCUUGGCCCUAAAAAGCAAAAAAAUAAAAUAAAAUAAAAUAAAAAAUAAAAAAAUUUGUCCUUAAAGAAAAUUUACAAAAUACAACAAAGUAGAAGUUAGGAAAAGUACCUUUAUUAAAUUCUUUCCCACCAUUCAGAAACAGUUGAUAUUUUAACGUUUCGGUAUUUUAAAAAAUCAUUUAUCCUUUUUCUGAUUACUUAGUUUACAUGUUUUUUGUAUAAAAUUAUGAAAAUACAUAAAAGUUUAAUAAUAAAAAUAAAAAUUAUCUUUCAUCCCACUACACAAAUCUUUUUUUAUAAAUUGAGGUGAAAUUUAUGUUACAAAAUUAAACAUUUAAGAACUUUAAAUUUUUUUCCAACUUUACUGAAAUAUAGCGGACAUAUGUCACUAAUUUUAAUUAAGGUGUGCAACCUCAAAUAAUGGUUUGACAUGUAUAUUGUAAAAUGGUUACUGUAGUAAAUUUAGUUGGUAUCCAUCUCAUAUGAAUACAAGAAAAAGAAACAAAAUGUUCCUUUUGUGAUGAGAAGUCAGUAUUUACUCUUUUGAUUUUCUUAUGUAUCAUGCAGCAGUGUUAACUACAGUCGUCCUGUUGUAUAUUACAUCCCUAGUACCUAUUUAUCUUAUGGCUGGAAGUUUGUACCUUCCUCCAAUCCCGCCUCCUCCCAUUCUGGCACCUCUCCACCCCAUCUCACUAGUAACUACAGAUUUGAUCUCUUUUUCUAUGAGUUUGGGGUUUUUUGGGGGGGUUGUUAAGAUUCCACAUAUAGGUGAGAUCAUAUAGUAUUUAUUUUUCUCUGACUUAUUUCGCUUAGUGUAAUGCCACCAGAGUCCGUUCAUGUUGUCUCAGAUGGCAGGAUUUCCUCAUUUUUUAGGGCUGUAUAAUAUUCAUACACACACACAACCCCCCACAACUUCUUUAUCCAUUUAUCUGUUCAUGGAUCCAUGUCCUGACUAUUGUACAUAAUGCUGCCAUGAAUGUGGGAGUACAGUGUUUCUGUUUGCUUUGAGUGUGUUCCUAGAAGCAGAAUUGCUGGAUUGUGUGGUAGUUUUAGUUUUAAUUUUUGAGGAAUUUCCAUAUUGUUUUCCAUAGUGGCUGUUCCAGUAUACGUUCCCACCAACAGUGCUCAAGCAUUCCCUUUUCUCCACAUACUUGCCAGCACUGGUUAUUUUCUUUUUUAUGAUAGCCAUAAUAAGAGAUAUGAAGUGAUAUUGUAGUUUUGACUUGCAUUUCCCUAAUGACUAGUGAUUUUGAGCAUCUUUUCAUAUACCUCUUGACUAUGUGUAUAUCCUCUUUGAAAAAAUGUCUAUUCAGGUCUUUUGCUCAUUUUUUUAACUGGGUUAUUUGGGGG